AACGCACGAGACCUGCGGACCUGCGGAAGGAUCAUUAGUGAACGCCCUCACGGGCUUAUAACUAUUCCAAACCUCUGUGAACCGUGCCCUUCGGGGCUAUUUUACAAACAUGGUGUAAUGAACGUCAUAUAUCAUAACAAAACAAAACUUUUAGCAACGGAUCUCU
rnacentral:misc_RNA from 1 species